UGAAAACAAAAAGCUAGGAGCAGGGUGCGAAAAUAUUGCAAAUGCAGCAGAUGGAGAGAUUGCUCGUAUUUUGAUAGUAUGAAUGCUGCGGGUCUGAAGGAUCUUCGGAAGACAUUAUUCUGAAGCAUUUUUGGAAGUGUCUGUGUCUUGAUGAUGGAGGAAAGUGAAGCAGAUGAGGCAAGUGGGGGCGGAGCCUCGCCCAUGGCCCGUCUGCUGCAGACACGGUCAUCCAAGGACAUCAUUGCCUGGCUGACUGCUGGCAGCACCACUAAGAAGAAGGACUGUGCCCAGAAGAAUGGAACCAGUACAAACUCAUGGAAAGAGUUUCAGCACAUGCGACCCCACUUUGCCACCAGCUUUACUGACUUCCUGC